AACGAACGCUGGCGGCAGGCUUAACACAUGCAAGUCGAACGCAUCCUUCGGGGUGAGUGGCAGACGGGUGAGUAACGCGUGGGAACGUGCCCUUCAGUUCGGGAUAACCCAGGGAAACUUGGGCUAAUACCGGAUACGUGCGAGAGCAGAAAGAUUUAUCGCUGAAGGAUCGGCCCGCGUCUGAUUAGCUAGUUGGUGGGGUAAUGGCCCACCAAGGCGGCGAUCAGUAGCUGGUCUGAGAGGAUGAUCAGCCACAGUGGGACUGAGACACGGCGCAAACUCCUACGGGAGGCAGCAGUGGGGAAUAUUGGACAAUGGGCGCAAGCCUGAGCCAGCCAUGCCGCGUGAGUGAUGAAGGCCUUAGGGUUGUAAAGCUCUUUCGUCCGGGACGAUAAUGACGGUACCGGAAGAAGAAGCCCCGGCUAACUUCGUGCCAGCCGCCGCAGUAA
rnacentral:rRNA from 1 species